UUCCAGGGAGCCACCGGGUUGGCUGAUGCACAGAGAGCAAAGAGUUUGGAGCUGUGCGGGAAGGUACAUCAGUGCCCUUUCCCUCAAAAGUCCUGCCCAGCUGUGACACGGAAUGACCUGACCAGCUGUUGCCAGGACCCAUGGAGGCUCUGGAAGAACUUCAGUGAAUGAAGACGUUGUGGUCUCUGUCUAAGUGGAACCUGGGUAUUAGUUAAAGGAAAACGAAAAGGAAGCCAGCAGCCCCUAAUGCAAUCCCACACAGAUGCUCCAAGGUUGAAAAGGAGACACCUAUCUGUCACCCCUUCACCAGCCUUGAAGAGCUGGAGAUUCAUUUUAUUAAUGGAGCUGUCAGGUGUCUCUACAAUGUCGAACAGUCUUGGUUCUGGAAAGCACCACUGAUAGAAAGCAAGACGCUCAAGAAGAGAGUUUACUGUCCUGAGCUAAAUUUCAGUCUAUGAACAUACCACCCUGAACACGCCCGAUCUCCUCUGAGCUAAAUUUUAAAGAAGAUGGAAAUGAUGAGGUGUGUAGUGGACUGGCUGGGAACUCACAUUUCUAUAGAGCGGUGAUUAAUGGCUCCAAGUCAACGUGGAAGAUCUGUAUGAGUUGUGGAAAGUUUUAUCCUUCUCAAUAACAUCUAUCAAUGUCACAUACAAUAGGAGAAACCUGGCUCCGCAGAGGCUUAUGUAAGUACAGCUGAAGGACUCCCGUUACUCACGAGGUCAAACUGCUGCAACUUGAUGCAAUUAGCAAAUAGCACAGAGAAUCUCAGCUGUGUUAUUAAGAUGUACAGUGUCUAAGGUGCAGGGCGAGAAGGGGCAGAGUGACAGAUUCAGUAAUGGCAAGCUCAUUCGAUGCCUUUGUGUUAAUAAGAAAAUAAAAGUCCUCUGGUAGGUGUGCUGAUACAGCCUUUUAAUGUCAGCGUAUGGGAGGCAGAGGCAGAGGGAGGAGGACCACAAGUUCAAUGUCAGAGUGCAAACCUGUCGUGUGUAAAGGUCCUGGGUUUGGUCUCUACAACAGAAGCAGAGCAAGGGGCGAGGGAGAUUCUUGGGAAGCAAAAGUGUUGCUGCACAAAUAGGAUGACCUUAGAUCUCCAGAGCCAUGUAAAAUCCAGACCCAGUAGCCUACGUCUGGAAUCCUAGCAUUCCUCUGUUGAUGUGGGAGGGAAAGACAAGGGGAUCCUCAGAGGCCCUGUGGUGGUUUAAAUGAAAAUGGCCCCAUAGGCUCAUAGAGAGAGGCACAGUUAGGAGGUGUGGCCUUGUUGGAGGAAGUGUGUCACUGGGGGUGGCCUUUGAGGAUUUAGAUGCUCAAGCCAAGCCCAGUGUCUCUCUCUUCCUGCUGCCUGCAUAUCCAGAUGUAGAACUCUCAGCUAUCCCUCUAGCACCACGUCUGCCUGUGUUCUUCCCUUCAUGAUGAUAAUAGAUUAAACUUCUGAAGUGUAAG